UAUUUUAUAUGAGAGUUUGAUCCUGGCUCAGGAUGAACGCCGGCGGUGUGCCUAAUACAUGCAAGUCGUACGCACUGGCCCAAC
rnacentral:rRNA from 1 species